AGCUCCAAUAGCGUAUAUUAAAUUUGUUGCAGUUAAAAAGCUCGUAGUUGUAUACCUACAUAGUGCUUCGAUAUAGUUACGAACUAAACGAUGUACUGGUAUUUGAGCACGGGGUCGUCUUACGAUUAAUUGUCAUAUGAUGCUCAACGUGUAUUUUACUUUGAGGAAAUUAGAGUGUUCCAAGCAAACAUGGUUGUGAAUAUAAUAGCAUGGGAUAAUAUUUUUGGCCUGAACUUCUUUUUUAAAGAAGUUCAUGGUAAUUUCGAAAGGGAUAUCUGGGGGCAUUCGUAUUAAGCUGUCAGAGGUGAAAUUCUUAGAUUUUCUUAAGACGAACAAAUGCGAAAGCAUCUGCCAAAGAUGUUUUCA
rnacentral:rRNA from 1 species